UCAGUAGCUCAGUUGGAUAGAGCAUCGGCCUUCUAAGCCGAGGGUCAGGGGUUCGAAUCCCUUCUGA
rnacentral:tRNA from 1 species